rnacentral:rRNA from 1 species
UUGGAGGGCAAGUCUGGUGCCAGCAGCCGCGGUAAUUCCAGCUCCAAUAGCGUAUAUUAAAGUUGUUGCAGUUAAAAAGCUCGUAGUUGAAUUUCGGGAUUAGUACGUUGGUCGAGCCUUCGGUACGUACUGGUGUUACUGAUUCCUACCUUCUGACGAACCAUCAUGUCAUUAAUUUGGUGUGGUGGGGAAUCAGGACUGUUACUUUGAAAAAAUUAGAGUGUUUAAAGCAGGCUCGCGCUUGAAUACAUUAGCAUGGAAUAAUGAAAUAGGACGUUGAUCCUAUUUUGUUGGUUUCUAGGAUUGACGUAAUGAUUAAUAGGGAUAGUUGGGGGCAUUAGUAUUCAAUUGUCAGAGGUGAAAUUCUUGGAUUUAUUGAAGACUAACUACUGCGAAAGCAUUUGCCAAGGAUGUUUUCAUUAAUCAAGAACGAAAGUUAGGGGAUCGAAGACGAUCAGAUACCGUCGUAGUCUUAACCAUAAACUAUGCCGACUAGGGAUCGGAUGAUGUUAUUUUUAAUGACUCAUUCGGCGCCUUACGGGAAAC